UACAAGAGCAAGCAGGUACAGAGCAUC
rnacentral:piRNA from 1 species